GAGAAGGCAGCACCAUUAAACAUGGACGUGGUUCUCCCCCAGGGAUGACUCAGAUGUUUUGUACACAGAAGCCAAUUUCCCCUGAUGCUGUGAGCGCCGCAUAGAAACUCCAGCCUCACAACGGCCUUCCCGAUCACCCGACAUGGGGCUUGAGGAGCUUCCUGUAAAGCACAAAGAGUAACUGAGAGAUGACGCAGCAGCUGUUUCCAGCCUGGGAUGGUUGGAUAAAUGGGAACUGAGAGUCCUGCACAGGCUCAGCACACCAGACAUGUGUUUACCCAAACACCACAUCGGAUCCUUUUGAGACUUGAAGGAUUAAGCCACAUGGAAGCAUAGUAACAUCACAGGAGUCAGCCUGGACUUGGGAGCUGGGAUUCAUACCAGUAGGUGUGGAAAAUGGGUGAGAGAUGACUUCCAAAUGAUCAACUUGUUCAGGUUUCUAAAACAUUCAGCUUGUUUUCUGUAUGACAUUCACUGCCUGCCAGGAGCAUCUGAGCUUCUCGUGCUUUGGAAGCCACAACUGACAUUUUCUCUUAGUUCCUCUCUUUUCCUCCUUCCCAUCUCCAUUACAAAACAACUGUUUAUAGAUGUGUUUUGUCUCCCAGCUGAAACCAAGGAGCAAACUAGGGAAACUGGGUUCGUGACCACAUCAUCAGCCUAACAGUACAAUGAUAAAAUCCACACAUGACCUUUCUGAAAUGAUGCUAUCUACCACACCAGAGGAAAAUCACAACUCAAGGAGUCUGAUAUCCAUCUUCACUUCCCCUAAAGACUGUGUGCAAAAUCAUCACUUCACGUAGGCUCCCUGAGGCAUGGUCGUGCCAGGACAAAGCUUCAAUCAUGGGCUUCCCAGCCACCUCCAGGGUAACUGGCAGAAUGGAACUAGAAAAGGAGCCAAUGAUAAUAAGGUAGCUAAUAAUAAUAAGGCCCAAACAAAAAUACUGAAUAAUAAUAAUGAUUCUAACUAA